GCUAGAUUCAGAUUCAAGUAGUGCCGUAUUGGUAGAUUUGAAAUUGGAGAUGGCGAUUUCAAUCUUGAAGGGAUAGAGAGGAAUCUGGUGAUUUUAGGGUUUCUUUUAUCCAAUGCAAUGUAGGUAUAAAGAAAAGCAGCUUUGACGUCUGUCGUUAUGAUUCGGAGAAGAAAGAAGCGAAGGGAGAUGAAACCCCAUCUGUUGAGAUCGGUACGGUUCACGACGAUAAACCUCAAGGUUCAAGCAUGGCGCCGCCUAGUAUAAAGAGAAGCAGCUUUCUCGUCGGUCGUAAUGAUUCGGAGAAGAAAGAAACCCCUUCUGUUGACGACGAUAGUGAUGAUUUCGAGGAGCAUCUUCACGGCUAUGUUGUUGACGUUGGUUCUGAUGAUGGUGGCGUUGAUAUAGGAGUACCUCGUGAUUUUGGAGAGUACCAUCACGAUGAUGUUGAAGCCGUUCAUACUCUUGUUGUUCAUGCCCCCUCUGAAGUUGACCAAGGUCCUCCUCCUCGUCAUGAUGAAGAACCUGGACCCUCUCAGCGAAGACCCAUCGGUGACUACAUGGACAUGUUUCAUAUGAUACACACUCGUUACCCAGGACUCAUGUCCAGCCUGUGCCUUCCAGAAGAUGAUCUUCUUACGUUUGAUCAGAAGAGGUUAAGACAAAUAAUGGGGCUUAUUAAAGCUGAGGGGGACAGAGAGCUGAGAGGGAGAUGGAGAUGAUUGUAGUGCAAGAGAUUGGGGAUCAGGUGCCAGAAGCUGGUGGACGAAAGCAGAUAGAGGAUAGGAAACUUAAGCCGUUUAAGGAAGUUGUGGUGACCAUCAUUCAUGAGUACUUCAGUUCCAGCGAUGUACCUGAGCUCAUACGCAGUAUUGAGGAUUUAGGAGCACCGGAGUACAAGGCAAUAUUUGUAAAGAUGCUCGUAACACUUGCUCUAGACAGGAAGAACCGCGAGAAAGAAAUGGCUUCAGUUCUCAUCUCUUCUCUUCACAUCGAGAUGUUCGCAACAGAAGAUGUUGCCGAUGGUUUUUUCAUGCUCCUGGAGUCUGCAGAAGAUACAGCUCUUGAUCCUUCCUACGUACUUGCUCUGUUCUUAGCCAGAACUAUGAUCGACUACGUGUUAUCACCUGUUAACCUCGUACACAUCGGUAGCAGACUACAACCAAACUCAAGCGGGGCUGAAACCGUGAAGUUGGCUAGGUUACUCAUCUUUGCUGGCCGUGCAGAUGCAGUAGAGACGCUCCUACUUCGCUGGGGAGGUGGAACAGGAUGGGGAGUGAAAGAUACAAAGGACAAGAUAGUGAACCUUCUAGAGGAAUAUGAAAGCUCAGGGAUGGUGUCAGAAGCGUGCAAAUGCAUCCAUGAGCUCGGCAUGCCUUUCUUCAACCACGAGUUAGUGAAGAAGGCGUUGAUCAUGGCCAUGGAGAAGAAGAAGGACAAGAUGGUGCUGGAUCUUUUCACGGAGAGCUUUGGUGGGGGGCUGAUAACGAUUAAUCAGAUGACGAAAGGGUUCAGUAGAGUCAAAGACGGUCUGCAAAAUCUUGCUUUGGACAUCCCAAAUGCAAAGAAGAAGUUUAAUGACUAUGUUAAGUGUGCAAAAAUGAAUGGUUGGGUCUCAUCAUCGUUUCCAACAAUGUGAUGACUUCUGGAUCCAGGUCACUGCUCGACACCAGAUUUACUCUGUUCGAAGAUUUACUAAAGAUAGACUCUUUUGAGGUUCUGCACUAAUAGACACAGAAGCUAGGCUAUUUUUCAGGAUCAAUCCUAUUGUAGACAAGAAAAAGUUUGAAGUUUUAAAGCUGUUCUGUCUCUCUCCUUUGAGAUAUGAGAUUAAAAGUCUACCUUCUCAGUAAAGGUUCUUGAGCAACUUGUACGAGGUUCUCGUUGAAAAAGAUCCUUCUCAAUCUCAUGGCUCUCUUCAAGCACAUCAAAAAGCCUCUUUAGAAAUCCAAAACAACUUCUGCCUUGCAAUUUUGUUUUCUUUUAGAAACAGAAUCAAAAUCCUUUUUACCUUCUGUUUUCUUUUUCUUUUUUUGGGACAUGACAGAGACUUUUGCUCACGUUUCGCAAAGCCACACGUGAAGUAUUGAACCUAAGUGAAUACUUUUUCAUAUUGCUAUUGAACCUA